ACUUAGUGGCGUACGGGUGAGUAACGCGUGGAUAACCUGCCUUACACUGGGGGAUAACACUUAGAAAUAGGUGCUAAUACCGCAUAAGCGCACAGAGCCGCAUGGCUCAGUGUGAAAAACUCCGGUGGUGUAAGAUGGAUCCGCGUCUGAUUAGCUAGUUGGCGGGGUAGAAGCCCACCAAGGCGACGAUCAGUAGCCGGCCUGAGAGGGUGAACGGCCACAUUGGGACUGAGACACGGCCCAAACUCCUACGGGAGGCAGCAGUGGGGAAUAUUGCACAAUGGGGGAAACCCUGAUGCAGCAACGCCGCGUGAGUGAAGAAGUCAUUCGUGAUGUAAAGCUCUAUCAGCAGGGAAGAAAAUGACGGUACCUGAGUAAGAAGCCCCGGCUAACUACGUGCCAGCAGCCGCGGUAAUACGUAGGGGGCAAGCGUUAUCCGGAUUUACUGGGUGUAAAGGGAGCGUAGACGGCCAGACAAGUCUGAAGUGAAAAUCCAGCGCUUAACGUUGGAAGUGCUUUGGAAACUGCCGGGCUAGAGUGCAGGAGGGGCAGGCGGAAUUCCUAGUGUAGCGGUGAAAUGCGUAGAUAUUAGGAGGAACACCAGUGGCGAAGGCGGCCUGCUGGACUGCAACUGACGUUGAGGCUCGAAGGCGUGGGGAGCAAACAGGAUUAGAUACCCUGGUAGUCCACGCGGUAAACGAUGAUUACUAGGUGUCGGGGGGCUAGAGCCCUUCGGUGCCGUCGCAAACGCAAUAAGU
rnacentral:rRNA from 1 species